UGCUGGCGUAGCUUAACUAAAGCAUAACACUGAAGCUGUUAAGAUGGACCCUAGAAAGUCCCACGAGCAC
rnacentral:tRNA from 1 species